rnacentral:misc_RNA from 1 species
GAUGAAGAACGUAGCGAAAUGCGAUAAGUAAUGCGAAUUGCAGAAUUCAGUGAGUCAUCGAAUCUUUGAACGCACAUUGCGCCCUGUGGUAUUCUGCAGGGCAUGCCUGUUCGAGCGUCAUUUGUACCCUCCAGCCCUGCUGGGUAUUGGGCGUUUUGUUCCGCUACGCGCGUGAACUCGCCUCAAAUGCAUUGGCAGCCCGCCGUCCCGUGUGGGAGCGCAGCACAUUUUGCGCUCUCCGCUGCUGACGGUGGCAUCCACAAGUCUACCAUUUUACGCUUGACCUCGGAUCAGGUAGGGAUACCCGCUGAACUUAAGCAUAUCAAUAAGCGGAGGA